rnacentral:lncRNA from 1 species
UGACAGCCCCAGUUUUCAAGGUGGGGCAUCCAUACGGCUUGGCAACAGCAGCAGCAGGCUGGGAGCGAGGUGCAACUAAGACUCCCUACCUCCACUUCCACGACCUGGCUCAUGGAAGACACCAGAACCCCAGCAGAUGCGGAGCUUACCGGGGACACAAAGUUGGAUUUUGCCCAGAAGCCUGGCUGAUUUGUUUACUUAUUUGCAACGAUGCAUGAUAAGAAAGAUCAA